rnacentral:misc_RNA from 1 species
GUUCAGUUCAGACUAUGAAUUUAAGAUAGAGAUACUGUAAUAAUACAGAAGUCAAUAUGAAUUUCUUUGGAUUACUUUCUUUCUUGCUCCUGACAGGGGAAUGCCUUGUAAGAUGUUCACAUGAGGAGCAUCUUGAAAAAUGCUUGAUGUUAUGGCCAGAAAUUUCUAAGGAGCAACCAUCCCCAGAACCAGGACUAGAGUGUCCAGUAUUUCAAGAGAAAUCCUGCUGCUACAAGGGAGCAACAGAGCCUAUGUUGUCAGAUCAGCAAGUCCAGGGCAUUACAUACUACAACCAUUGUCCCCAGAAGACAGAACUCUCAGCUCAAUGUCACCAAGAAUUCUUCGAUGAGCUUUGCUUCUUCAUGUGUUCACCUGAUACUGGACCUUGGAUCACUUUUGCAACACAUGAGGAGCCAGUGAGGGAUAGAUUCAUAGAUGUACCAAUAUGUCCUGAAGUGUGUGAGAAGUGGUGGCAGGCAUGUAAACAAGAAUACACAUGUACAGACAACUGGUAUCUUGGCUUCAACAUGUCAACAGGUAGAAACCACUGCCACAACAUUGAUGACUGCAAACCUUAUACAGAAAUCUUUAAAACUGCUAAAAACUUUUGCGAAAGCAUCUGGGAUUUCUCAUUUAAAGUAGUUGAUGAAGGAGAACCGUGUAUGAACUUUGUAUAUGAUCUUACAAAGGAUGAUAAUAAUAGGAGAGUAGCUGAGAUGAAGGCGAAAGAGUUGAGUGAACUUGACAAAAUCAAGAAUGUUGAAUUAUAGGCUUUUCCAGAUAUUAUUCUAUUAACCUUUUGAAUCGGUAGCUUUGAAUCCAAGGAUCAGAAAUUGGGUUGAAACCAGGGAAUUUUCUCAUUUUUGCAAGCUUUUGACAUUUUAUUACGACAAGUGAUGCUCAAUUUAGUGAAAUUAGCAAGCAGUGAUCAUUUCUUCACAUUUUAAAACAUAAU